AAGAAUUGUUCAAACUCGAUAAAAGUACAAGAACUGUCAUGCAUCUCUAUCAUCGAAAUUAAUAGUACUGGCCCACAGGUUGCAACUAAUUCAUGAUCGAAUUAACAUCGUUGAGAUGUACAUCAAUAAUUGCGUUUAAUUUCAAGCAUCUUUAAGUUAAACACAUUCUCAUAAGACAUACCUUGUUCACUGUAAAAGGGCUUCCCACACUUUUUAGAGCUUUGAACAAAUCUUUUGUCAUCUUCUCUUUGGCGAUAUUCGACACAACAACUAAUAGAGCGAGACUCAAGGCUAUAGGACUUUUCGAUCCAGAAUAUCUCAAUCUGCUUGUUUAACGUCAUGUGGCUUCUUGCCACCGAGAAACAAAUGCAGAUCCUUCUGAUACAAGUUACCCUCGAUUUGCAUCUUCAAGAAUGCGAAUUCAAACUAUUCAACUUCUCAAUCUUGACUUCUCCAUCUCUAGCCAUUUUCAAAAACUCUGUUCUCCUAGUUUUUGGGAAGUUGGCCAAGCAUUCGAACAAAUAUGUAACACGUGUAGAACAAUAAAAAAUAGAAAUAGAGAACAAAAGACACGGAUCUCAUUAAUGUCGAAAGAAGCCCCGCAAAGCCUGAUUCAACAAAAGAAUUUAUUGACAUGUGGGUGGGAGUCGAACUCAAAACCAAAAGCUUUUUCUGAAAUCAUGAUUGCCAGGUGACUAAUGGUCAAACAUGAGAUAUGGAGUAUGUGAAAUUGAAUUGUUCAACAUCUAAAACAAGGAAUCCAACCUUAAGAAUGCCAACUCUAUGAUUUCCGGCGAUCUUAAAAACUAUUAGUACCAAGGUGCUGUUCCACUAAAGCAAAAAGUGUUUUUUUGAAAGUUUUGUUCUUAUUAAAAAAAAACCGCAUUCGUUGCUUUUGCGUCAAAUUUAGGUGCCGUUGAGCCUUUGAAAUAAUAUGUGAUUUCAAAAAAAAAAAAAUCUAAAACAACUUGUUUUUUCCUUACUUUUGACUUGAAAUCGAGAGAGUUUGUACUAAAAAAUGGCCUAGAUGUCAGGCAAGUGCUAGACUAGUACUAGGUUUAACAUUAAUUGUAAGACUAAUGACUAUGUAUGUAAUCCUAAUGUGGUACUCACUUUCGUAAUCUUUAAUGAAUUUUCGUUUGAUCCGGGAAAAAAAAAUGGAAUCCGACUACACAUCCCUAAACAGAGGAGUUUCAAACAUUACAAAUAAAGAUACAUUAGAACAACUUCUGGCAUACUAGCUCAAUACAAAACUAUUUUGGAGACCCAGAUUUUGUUGAAACUCUGGUACCCCUUUCCUCCUCAUACAUAGUCAGAAUUUCUUACCCCAUGUUUUUUCCAGAGAGAGAGAGAGAGAGAGAGAGAGAGGUCAAUCAACCUUGAA